rnacentral:lncRNA from 1 species
UAUCCUAGAAGGACCAGUUGUUAUAUGUUUGAGUAUGCGUUCAUCGACAGGUAUGGAUUUUAGUGUUGUUUCGCUCAAAGUGAUUGGCCACUCUCCAUUAAUUGUUAACUCAUAAAAACAUUUGCCUUUCACAGAAAACGUAACUACGCGACUGUCAUCUACCACAGCGCAAGUUCCAAACUUCAACUCCGACGGUUUUAUUAUCUAUUCAAAUCUGG